rnacentral:tRNA from 1 species
GAUCCAGUAGCUCAGCUGGUAGAGCACAUCCCUUUUAAGGAUGGGGCCCUGGGUUCAAGUCCCAGCUGGAUCACUA